GAUAUGUUAGGAUAAAGAAAGUCUUUGAGAUUCAUAUUCUUGUGGUUUAUCAUAUUU
rnacentral:tRNA from 1 species